AUUGAACGCUGGCGGCAUGCUUUACACAUGCAAGUCGAACGGUAACAGGCCUUCGGGUGCUGUCGAGUGGCGAACGGGUGCGUAAUGCAUCGGAACGUACCCAGAGAUUGGGGAUAACGCAGCGAAAGCUGUGCUAAUACCGCAUGUGAUCUGAGGAUGAAAGCGGGGGACCGAGCAGCAAUGUUUGGCCUCGCGCCUUUCGAGCGGCCGAUGUCGGAUUAGCUAGUUGGUGGGGUAAAGGCCUACCAAGGCGACGAUCCGUAGCUGGUCUGAGAGGACGACCAGCCACACUGGAACUGAGACACGGCCCAGACUCCUACGGGAGGCAGCAAUGGGGAAUUUUGGACAAUGGGCGCAAGCCUGAUCCAGCAAUGCCGCGUGCGGGAAGAAGGCCUUCGGGUUGUAAACCGCUUUUGGCAGGAACGAAACGGUGUCCGCUAAUACCGGGCGCUAAUGACGGUACCUGCAGAAUAAGCACCGGCUAACUACGUG
rnacentral:rRNA from 1 species